rnacentral:rRNA from 1 species
CCUACGGGUGGCAGCAGUCGAGAAUUAUUCACAAUGGGGGAAACCCUGAUGGUGCGACGCCGCGUGGGGGAAUGAAGGUCUUCGGAUUGUAAACCCCUGUCAUGUGGGAGCAAAUUAAAAAGAUAGUACCACAAUAGGAAGAGACGGCUAACUCUGUGCCAGCAGCCGCGGUAAUACAGAGGUCUCAAGCGUUGUUCGGAAUCACUGGGCGUAAGGCGUGCGUAGGCUGUUUCGUAAGUCGUGUGUGAAAGGCGCGGGCUCAACCCGCGGACCGCACAUGAUACUGCGAGACUAGAGUAAUGGAGGGGGAACCGGAAUUCGCGGUGUAGCAGUGAAAUGCGUAGAGAUCGAGAGGAACACUCGUGGCGAAGGCGGGUUCCUGGACAUUAACUGACGCUGAGGCACGAAGGCCAGGGGAGCGAAAGGGAUUAGAUACCCCUGUAGUC